rnacentral:rRNA from 1 species
GAUGAACGCUGGCGGCGUGCCUAAUACAUGCAAGUCGAGCGAACAGACGAGGAGCUUGCUCCUCUGACGUUAGCGGCGGACGGGUGAGUAACACGUGGAUAACCUACCUAUAAGACUGGGAUAACUUCGGGAAACCGGAGCUAAUACCGGAUAAUAUAUUGAACCGCAUGGUUCAAUAGUGAAAGUCGGUUUUGCUGUCACUUAUAGAUGGAUCCGCGCCGCAUUAGCUAGUUGGUACGGUAACGGCUUACCAAGGCAACGAUGCGUAGCCGACCUGAGAGGGUGAUCGGCCACACUGGAAGUGAGACACGGUCCAGACUCCUACGGGAGGCAGCAGUAGGGAAUCUGCCGCAAAGGGCGAAAGCUUGACGGAGCAACGCCGCGUGAGUGAUGAAGGUCUUCGGAUCGUAAAACUCUGUUAUUAGGGAAGAACAAAUGUGUAAGUAACUAUGCACGUCUUGACGGUACCUGAUCAGAAAGCCACGGCUAACUACGUG